CGUCUUACAUUAUAAAAAUAUAAAGCUAUUUGUACGUAUUUGGUUUGUUUUUUUUUUUUUUUUAACGUCCUUAUGAACGGGCGCGAACUGUACUGAAUAGAAAAAAAAAACGUAUACGGUCUUUAGGACCCGCACAAAAUGUUAUUGACUAAAAUUUGUAUACUUUUUAAUGUUUUUUUUUUUUUUUUCUUUGAAUAUUGUAUUAUAAUAUUUACUUAGGUGUAUACGUGUCUCGCGAUAUUUUUCCUGAAUUAUUACUAUUAUCAUAAUAUUAUACGCACGCGC